rnacentral:miRNA from 1 species
UGAGAACUGAAUUCCAUGGGCUG